rnacentral:rRNA from 1 species
GCCUAAAGAGAAGCUUGCGGCUGAUUAGCUUGUUGGUGAGGUAAUAGCUCACCAAGGCGACGAUCAGUAUCUGGUUUGAGAGGACGAUCAGACACACUGGAACUGAGACACGGUCUAGACUCCUACGGGAGGCAGCAGUAGGGAAUUUUCCGCAAUGGGCGAAAGCCUGACGGAGCAAUACCGCGUGAGGGAUGACGGCCUAUGGGUUGUAAACCUCUUUUUUCAGGGAGGAAUAAAUGACGUGUACCUGAAGAAUAAGCAUCGGCUAACUCCGUGCCAGCAGCCGCGGUAAGACGGAGGAUGCAAGUGUUAUCCGGAAUCACUGGGCGUAAAGCGUCUGUAGGUGGUCCAAUAAGUCAACUGUUAAAUCUUGAGGCUCAACCUCAAAACCGCAGUCGAAACUAUUAGACUAGAGUAUAGUAGGGGUAAAGGGAAUUUCCAGUGGAGCGGUGAAAUGCGUAGAUAUUG